rnacentral:rRNA from 1 species
UACAGAGGUCUCAAGCGUUGUUCGGAUUCAUUGGGCGUAAAGUGUGCGUAGGCGGCGCGGUAAGUCGGGUGUGAAAUCUCGGGGCUUAACUCCGAAACUGCAUUCGAUACUGCCGUGCUUGAGGACUGGAGAGGAGACUGGAAUUUACGGUGUAGCGGUGAAAUGCGUAGAUAUCGUAAGGAAGACCAGUGGCGAAGGCGGGUCUCUGGACAGUUCCUGACGCUGAGGCACGAGGGCCAGGGGAGCAAACGGG